rnacentral:rRNA from 1 species
GAUGAACGCUGGCGGCGUGCCUAAUACAUGCAAGUCGAGCGAACAGAUGAGGAGUUUGCUCCUCUGACGUUAGCGGCGGACGGGUGAGUAACACGUGGAUAACCUACCUAUAAGACUGGGAUAACUUCGGGAAACCGGAGCUAAUACCGGAUAAUAUAUUGAACCGCAUGGUUCAAUAGUGAAAGACGGUUUUGCUGUUACUUAUAGAUGGAUCCGCGCGGAAUUAGGUAGUUGGUAAGUUAACGGCUUACCAAGGCAACGAUGCGUAGCCGACCGGAGAGGGUGAUCGGCCACACUGGAACUGGACCACGGUCCGGACUCCUACGGGAGGCAGCAGUGGGGAAUCUUCGGCAAUGGGCGAAAGCCUGACGGAGCAACGCCGCGUGGGUGAUGAGGGUCUUCGGAUGGUAAGACUCUUUUAUUAGGGAAGAACAAAUGUGUAAGUAACUAUGCACGUCGUGACGGUACCUAAUCAGAAAGCCACGGCUAACUACGUG